UUAGGUGAACGUUUGUAUGUAACGACCACUGCUCACUAUGUACUUUUUAAAGACACUUAAACUAUGGGGUCACCAAAGGUUCACAACACCUUAAUAAAGUAAUUCGAAAAAUUAAUCAGAAAUAACACGAUGUUUUGAUUUAUACUAAUUAUAUAAAUCAAAACAUAAAGGUUGUUCCUGAUUAAUUUUUCGAAUUAUUUUAUAAUUAAAGGCGUUAAGAAACCUUUGGUGACCCCACAGUUUAAAUGUCUAUCGUAGGUACGUCGUGAACAGUGGUCGUUACAGACAAACGUUCACGUAAAUUGUCCCAGUCAAUGGAUGAAUUUAAUGUGUCAAUCAAUGUCCACAGCCACACUGUUUUGAAUUUCA
rnacentral:lncRNA from 1 species